UACGUAGGGACCAAGCGUUGUUCGGAUUUACUGGGCGUAAAGGGCGCGUAGGCGGCAAUUCAAGUCAUCUGUGAAAUCUCCGGGCUUAACUCGGAACGGUCAGAUGAUACUGCUUUGCUAGAGUGCGGAAGGGGCAAUCGGAAUUCUCGGUGUAGCGGUGAAAUGCGUAGAUAUCGAGAGGAACACCUGAGGUGAAGACGGGUUGCUGGGCAGACACUGACGGUGAGUGAGCGAAAGCCAGGGGAGCAAACGGG
rnacentral:rRNA from 1 species